rnacentral:rRNA from 1 species
AUGGCGGGCGGGUGCAAGGCGGCGAUCGGGUGCGUGGACGCGCGCGUGCCGGUGCGGGCCAGCUACGUCAGCCUCUACAAGUGGCCCGAGUCCGACGCCGAGUUCGUCCGGUCCGUCGCCAUGGCGCGGCGCCACCGCCAGCACCCGGACAGCCCCGCUGCCGCUGCCGCCGGGUGCUACGGCGGCGGCAGCGCCAGCAUGCGCCGCGGGGCUGGCGUCGAUGUCGGUGGAGACAGCCCGCGGGUGGUGGACAGCUACUCGUGCCGCCAGAUGUACCUCCGCAGCUACACCUUCUCGACGCGGAAGGAGACCGUGCCCGAGCGCACCAUGGCGUGCCUCGGCCGCGUCCGGGAGCGCGCCGCCGUCUUCCCCAGCUUCCUCCCGCACCGGGGCGGCGGCGGCGGGUCCGACGCCGGAAGCUCGUUCGGCAGCUCGAGCGGCGGUGGAUGCCAGUACUCCGGGAGGGAUCAAGACGGGCGCCGCGGGACUACGACCGGCGGCAGCAACGGGAGGAGGAAGCGGAGGAGGAAGAAGAAGGGGUGCGCCGUGGUGAGGAGGCUGCAGGAGGCGUCGUGCGGCGCGGUGCGGGCCAUCUUCCGCCGCCUGCUCGCCUGCACCACCACCGUCGACGUCGAGGUCGCCGAGCCGCCGCCCGGCCGGUGA